rnacentral:misc_RNA from 1 species
AAGUCGUAACAAGGUUUCCGUAGGUGAACCUGCGGAAGGAUCAUUAAAAAAUCGCUUGAGCCGCAAGGCUCUAUUCUUUUGUGAAACGUCUGUGGAAGCUUGUGACGGUGCGUGGCAGUGGCUCGUCCGCUGGCAUACAUCGCUGCUAGUCUGCCAUUAUUAUAUUAAACAUAUGUCUUUGAUGUUGAGGAAAUUGUCUAUGAUAAUAUAUAUAUACAACUUUCAACAGUGGAUCUCUCGGCUCUU